rnacentral:rRNA from 1 species
GAUGAACGCUAGCGGGAGGCCUAACACAUGCAAGCCGAGCGGUAUGCAUUCUUAGCUUGCUAAGAAUGCAGAGAGCGGCGCACGGGUGCGUAACAUGUGUGCAACUUGCCUUUAUCAGGGGGAUAGCCUUUAGAAAUGAAGAUUAAUACCCCAUAAUAUAUUGAUUGGCAUCAAUUAAUAUUGAAAACUUCGGUGGAUAAAGAUAGGCACGCACAAGAUUAGCUAGUUGGUACGGUAACGGCGUACCAAGGCGACGAUCUUUAGGGGGCCUGAGAGGGUGAUCCCCCACACUGGUACUGAGACACGGACCAGACUCCUACGGGAGGCAGCAGUGAGGAAUAUUGGACAAUGGGUGAGAGCCUGAUCCAGCCAUCCCGCGUGAAGUGACGACGGACCUAUGGUUUGUAAACUUCUUUUAUAUAGGAAUAAACCUACCCUCGUGAGGGUAGCUGAAUGUACUAUACGAAUAAGCACCGGCUAACUCCGUGCCAGCAGCCGCGGUAAUACGGAGGGUGCAGGCGUUAUCCGGAUUUAUUGGGUUUAAAGGGUCCGUAGGCGGGCUAAUAAGUCAGUAGUGAAAUCUUGUCGCUUAACGAUGGAACUGCUAUUGAUACUGUUAGUCUUGAGUGUAUUUGAAGUAGCUGGAAUGAGUAGUGUAGCGGUGAAAUGCAUAGAUAUUACUCAGAACACCAAUUGCGAAGGCAGGUUACUAAGAUACAACUGACGCUGAUGGACGAAAGCGUGGGGAGCGAACAGGAUUAGAUACCCUGGUAGUCCACGCCGUAAACGAUGCUUACCCGUUUUCGGGUCGAUAAGAUUCGGAGACCAAGCGAAAGUGAUAAGUAAGCCACCUGGGGGAGUACGCUCGCAAGAGUGAAACUCAAAGGAAUUGACGGGGGCCCGCACAAGCGGUGGAUUAUGUGGUUUAAUUCGAUGAUACGCGAGGAACCUUACCAAGACUUAAAUGUAUGUUGACAGGUUUAGAGAUAAACUUUUCUUCGGACAGCAUACAAGGUGCUGCAUGGUUGUCGUCAGCUCGUGCCGUGAGGUGUUAGGUUAAGUCCUGCAACGAGCGCAACCCCUAUCUUUAGUUGCUAACAUUAAGUUGAGGACUCUAGAGAGACUGCCUACGCAAGUAGAGAGGAAGGUGGGGAUGAUGUCAAAUCAUCACGGCCCUUAUGUCUUGGGCUACACACGUAAUACAAUGGUAGGUACAGAGGGCAGCUACACUGCGAAGUGAUGCAAAUCUCGAAAGCCUAUCUCAGUUCGGAUUGGAGUCUGCAACUCGACUCUAUGAAGCUGGAAUCGCUAGUAAUCGCGCAUCAGCCAUGGCGCGGUGAAUACGUUCCCGGGCCU